rnacentral:lncRNA from 1 species
ACAUCACAAAAAUAACCAAACAACAAAAUCCAAACUCAAAAGUUACAACUUUCAGAGAAUAACAGAACAAAAGAGAAAAAAAAAAAACAGCAAUCACAGAGACCCAAAAUUGAGAAAAAAGUGCUAGAAGCUGGAAGGAAAAUAAAUUGAAGAAUAGAGUUUGACGCAAGUAAUUACUUGAAAAUCAAAGGGAGUUAUCAUUUUCCUUUCCUAAGGAAGAGAGAAUCAAGGUCAAUCCUGCAACAGAGAAGCUAUAUUGGCGAGGUUGCAAUCCCACCAUCUCGCACUCACAGCUUUUCCAACUUCUGCUGGGUCUCCUCACACUAUCCGCCAUCCCGCACUCACAAUUUCCUAAAUCAGAAAGAAAAUUAUAAAAGAAAUCAAGUUUCCAUGGAACUUUCAUCAAGUUUCCAUGGAAAUUUCAAGAAUUAUUUAAUGAUUUCUAGAA